rnacentral:rRNA from 1 species
AUUGAACGCUGGCGGCAUGCCUUACACAUGCAAGUCGAACGGCAGCACGGGUGCUUGCUCCUGGUGGCGAGUGGCGAACGGGUGAGUAAUACAUCGGCACAUGUCCUUUAGUGGGGGAUAGCCCGGCGAAAGCCGGAUUAAUACCGCUUACGAUCUACGGCUGAAAGCGGGGGACCUUCGGCCCUCGCGCUAUCGGGUUGGCCGAUGGCUGAUUAGCUAGUUGGUGGGGUAAAGGCCUACCAAGGCGACGAUCAGUAGCUGGUCUGAGAGGACGACCAGCCACACUGGGACUGAGACACGGCCCAGACUCCUACGGGAGGCAGCAGUGGGGAAUUUUGGACAAUGGGCGAAAGCCUGAUCCAGCAAUGCCGCGUGUGUGAAGAAGGCCUUCGGGUUGUAAAGCACUUUUGUCCGGAAAGAAAUCCUUGGCCCUAAUACGGUCGGGGGAUGACGGUACCGGAAGAAUAAGCACCGGCUAACUACGUG